ACUCGCUCAUUUCUCGCCUGCCUUCACAGGCUUCAGACUGAUUUCAGAGAAACAGUAGAUCAACGGUAGUUAUGAUAAUGUGCACUGAAGUAAUCAUGGUAAUAGUUCCCUUUUCCUUGCACUGGAAUGAUGUACAUGUAGGAUACAUGUACAUGCAACAGGCUACUGGCACUGUGUAAAGUGGUGGUUCACCGCAGGAGCGGGUGUAGACUACGAGUACGAGUUUGCUGUCGAUGCACCUGGAAGGUCCUAGCCCAUCCUUCACCUUCUCGAAAAAUAAAUGACCAUUGGAAAGGCAGUAGAAGCCUGAGCUGGCACUUCUUGAUCCAAAUUUCAUCAGACACGAACAUUUACCACUGCGUUCAUGUGCGAUUUGAAAAAUAAAAUGCGCGCAGAACUCGCAGGCACUCACCUGAACUCAGCCCCGUACAACUGUCAUGUAAACGGUUGAAAAAUAUGCCCGAGUCGAAUAAGCCCGGGCUAAUUUUCCUCAACCAAGAACAACACUGCUAACAACUCUCUCACUGGAUUGUCGGGAGAAGCUGGGGCUUGUGCUUCUGUCGCGAGCUGGCCUAGCCCAGCUUCGGAAGGUGGCGCAUGAUAAAUGCCGAUGGAAUUCAUUGCGAAACAGCACUGUUUAAUAAUAAUUAGCCUGGCCAUAAUAAUACGCCUACCCCUGACAUGCUUGCCUGCCUACUCGUGUGCACGCAUGCAGCAUGCAUGCAUUCUUGCCGGAAAUGUCUACCUGUGGCGACAAUAAAUUUGUUCAUGGACUGAUCUUCUUUUUUAGUGUUUGCGCACUCUUGGCUGCUGCUGUGGCACUUUUGUAUGUUCAUGCUACUGCUCCGCUCUGUACAGCUGCACUAGCCGUAUUAAAGGGGCACUCCGGCUUCAUUUUCGACGCCGAGUUUUCGAUGCCAAGACGAAGGUUGGUGAAAGAGAAGACCCCUCGAACAAGAACGAGUCUCCAGAAGCGAUCGAGUCGAGCAGGAAGACGACUUUUGAAUUUCGGCCGAGCGAGCGCUGAUGACGUAAUGAGGGAUUAGCUUGCCAGUGGAAAUGCAUCUGCGCACAUACAUUUCACACACUUUUUGGCCAAUUUUCAAUCGAAGAGGAGGUUGUUUUCUAUGUUCUCUCAACGUCGUGAGCGAUCCCGUCUUCUAUACCCUUCCAGGUACCCUGAAGGUCCUCCAGAGGAGAAUUUAUCUCCAUCAAAGCGUUGUUGAUCCGCUAAAUUCGUCUCGAGACAUAUUCACCCAGUGCAGUGCUGACAAAUGUAGAAUGUUGAAUCUGUGAUAAUUGUCGACGAUGGACAGAAAGGUUGAUAGCCGCUGUCGCAGGGAAAGUGAAGCUGCUGGAAGUAACAACGGGGAGCUUGUUAGCAUCACUUGAUCAAAGCAGCUAGACGGAAUCGGGGAGUACUGACUAUUUGUCUCGCCCUCAGUUUAGUGAAUUUUAUGAUCAGAAAAUUUUUCGAUCAGCCCCUUCUACAAGAUGUGUAGUACAGGUGAUUUCUGAACUUGACGAUAUGGAGACCGACCAGUUGUCCUACCAACAACGUGUACCUGCAGGAAAUUCACCCAAGGCUAUUGCUAAUGCUAUCCUCUUCAGUGGCUGUUGUUUUUUUAGUAAAAAUAUGUUCACUUCUCUCAACAUAUUCCUGCAUGGCAGCAAGAAGGUGCGCUAUGGAAUUCAACGCCACAAUCUUCGCCCAGCUGUGGAUGAAGCAUGGUCAAGUCAUGGCAGUACAUAUACUUGAACCAGAUGAGAAAUUGAAGUUCAUUUGUGAUGCGAAGUUUGACAGCCCCAGUGACCGAGUCAAGCGUUGUCUUUUGCCGUGGCACAAAUUGCUGAAGAAUCCGAGAUGUUCUUGGAAUUAUGCACAUGGAUACUACCAGAAAUAAUGGUGGCAUGAACCAUUGUGGAAUGGGACAGCUCACGGAGAAUACUGGAAUAGCUCAAGUAUCUCUAGGCGAUUGUAAAUCCUGUUCUGGCUGAUAGCUUCGGCCUGCUGCGCCCGUCCAUGUACAAUGAUGGGAACAUGCAUUUCUGUUUUCUACAUAUUUGCUAUCUACUGUACUGUGGUAUUACAGUUGCAGGUCCCUUAUAUAGAAAUAUGUUCACCCCCCCCCCCCCCCCCCCCCCA